AGGGCGGGUAGUGCUCGUCCGCCGACACCAGCGUGGGCACGAAGUACUUGCUCCAGGGCACCCGGAUGGGGCCCACGUUCUGGAUCAGGUGACCCACGAAGAGGUGGCGGUCCGGGUCGCGGUCCUGCAGGCAUCCUUCACUGGCUGACCCUCCUGUUUCCUCGGACUUCUGGCCUCGGCCUGGUCCUGUGUCUGUCCGACUGCUCCGGGUCCCAGCCCCGCCCAGCAUGCAGUGGGCGAAAGGCAGAAAACACUGGAUGUUUGUGGUAAACUCUUACAAAUCCACCAGAGCCCCAGCUCGAAUGAGCUCACUUUCAAAACUUAUUUCCCAUUGACACAAGGCCGUGUAGCCCAGGCUGGCCUCAAACUUGCUGUGUAGCUAAGGAUGGCCUUGAGCUGUCAGUCCUCACCCCCUAGGUGCUGGAAUGACAGUGUCACCAGACCUGGCUCUCCCUCCAGACCUCGGGGUUCAGCCCUCACUCUCUCUGCAGCCCCUCCAUGACUCUGCACAUGACCUGUGCUUUCUGUUGUCUUCUAGGCCUGCACGGUGCUACUGCAGCAUGCAGAUGCUAGAUGAGACUCGGAGCAGGACUUCCUCCACGGGACACUUACCCUUCAUCCCUGGAGACGGGUGCUGGCCCCACACGCCCUGGCUGUGCACCCACAUGCCCUGACCUGGGUGUCUGCAGGUUUAGAGGGGACGCCCACGCCCCUCCUGUGUCACAGCACACAAAGCAUUUCCAGCAACAAGCGUUUGUGGAAUACCUUCCGAACCUUGGCUCUUACCUCAGUCUGUCUUGGGGUACUCCCAGUGAGCCAGACUGCCCUUGGUCUCCUCAAUGGCACCUGGAACAAUGUGGGUGUUAACACAAGUCCUUGAAACUGUAGGUCUCAAGCAAAGCCGCAGCUAGUGCCUGGACCAGGCCCCGGCUCCGUGCCAUGGGUUCUGCUGUGUGAACCUCCAAGUAAAACAAAAUGGACCCCA